CAGCGCCAUUUUGAAUGUGCGGUUGCCGCGGGCGUGGGUCGAGGGAGGCAGGGCUGCAUGCUCGCCUGUCUUGCUAUUGCCUGACUUUUCUUACUUGGUUUCCAGAAAUAUACGUAGAGACGCAUACGUAUAUAUAGACCUCGGCCUGUAACCCGUACCCUAGGCGAACUUCCUAAGAUGAUGUUAAGAGGAAACCUGAAACAAGUGCGGAUUGAGAAAAAUCCGGCCCGGCUUCGCGCCCUGGAGUCCGCGGCAGGAGAGAGCGAGCCGGCGGCCGCGGCGGCCAUGGCGCUCGCGCUGGCUGGGGAGCAGGCACAGCCCGCGCUCGCCGAAGACCACCCAGACGAGGAGAUGGGGUUCACCAUAGACAUCAAGAGUUUCCUCAAGCCAGGCGAGAAGACGUACACACAGCGUUGCCGCCUCUUUGUGGGAAACCUGCCCACCGACAUCACCGAGGAGGACUUCAAGAGGCUCUUCGAGCGCUACGGCGAGCCCAGCGAGGUCUUCAUCAACCGGGACCGCGGAUUCGGCUUUAUCCGCCUGGAAUCCAGAACACUGGCUGAGAUUGCAAAAGCAGAGCUGGAUGGCACCAUUUUGAAGAGCAGACCUCUCCGAAUUCGUUUUGCCACACAUGGAGCAGCUUUAACUGUCAAGAACCUUUCUCCAGUUGUUUCCAAUGAGCUUCUAGAGCAAGCAUUUUCCCAGUUUGGCCCAGUAGAGAAAGCUGUUGUUGUAGUGGAUGAUCGUGGUAGAGCUACAGGAAAAGGUUUCGUAGAAUUUGCAGCAAAACCUCCUGCACGAAAGGCCCUGGAAAGAUGUGGUGAUGGGGCAUUCUUGCUAACAACGACACCUCGUCCAGUCAUUGUGGAGCCUAUGGAGCAAUUUGAUGAUGAAGAUGGCUUACCCGAGAAGCUGAUGCAGAAAACGCAACAAUAUCAUAAGGAAAGAGAACAGCCACCACGUUUUGCUCAACCUGGGACAUUUGAAUUUGAGUAUGCAUCUCGAUGGAAGGCUCUUGAUGAGAUGGAAAAGCAGCAGCGAGAGCAGGUUGACAGAAACAUUAGAGAAGCCAAAGAGAAACUGGAGGCUGAGAUGGAAGCAGCGAGGCAUGAGCACCAGCUAAUGCUCAUGAGGCAAGAUCUAAUGAGACGUCAAGAAGAACUGAGACGCUUGGAAGAACUCAGAAACCAAGAAUUACAAAAACGAAAACAAAUACAACUGAGACAUGAAGAGGAACAUCGUCGUCGUGAGGAAGAAAUGAUCCGACACAGAGAACAGGAGGAACUGCGGCGACAGCAAGAGGGCUUUAAACCAAACUAUAUGGAAAAUGAUGAUAAAAGAGAACACGGAUGAAAACUACCUGAAGUCAAGCUUCUAGAGUAAUUCCAAGCUUCUAGAGUUUGAAGACCAGGAUUGCUGGAAUCAUCCUUAGAGUGUAGUGCUGGGGACCAGGAGGGUCGGCAUUGCCUGAGAUCUACCCCUCAGGAUGGAGAGUGGCCUGUGAAUCACAACAUCCAUUUGAACAAGACCAGUAGGUAUCUGGGCACUCCAAGAAGCACUAAUGUACUCUGUAUCUUUGAGAGAUUCUACCUUUUUAAAGUAUCUGGUGCCCACUUAAUGCAGCAGCAAAGUGUGACAAUUCUUUGGCAUACUAUUACCCAGUUCUAAGAAAAUUAAUUUUAGGUGUAGCAGCAGUGUCUUGGAACUUGUUAAGAAUGCACAUCUCUGGCCACAUUGAACAGAAACUGAGAUGGGAAACCUAGCAAUAUGGGUGGUUUAAAGCCCAACGGGUAAUUUUGUUUUUUUCUAGAGAACCACUGACCUAAGGAACUAUUAAUAGAAAAAUUAGAAUUGCCCUUUGAAACUUGUUUAUGGAUUAAUUUUAUAUUCUGUGGACGUUUUGUUGGGAUUAAUUUUCAAGUUGCUGUAUAUGUAGGUUGAAAAAACAAUCUCCAAAUACAUGGAUAGGGAAAAAAAUCUGGGUAUAGGUUAUUUGUGGCAUUAUGUGGCCUUCUAAAAGAGAGAAGAGAGAUUUUGUAAGCUUAUUAAACAGAUUGGUCAUUCAACUGGAGGGUUUUGAAAUUCAAAAUCGUGAAGUUACGAAAAUAACUGGUUUUCAUCAUUAUUUUCUAAGAAAGUAAAAAGAAAUUGGGGUUCAUUUCAGAAACAUAUGUAAAUAAAAUUAAGAUGCUAAACAUAUACUUAAUUACCAGAAAUGACACUGAAUCUGCUUUUAUUAUAAAGAGUAAAGAAAGUACCAAUCCCAUAUAGAGUCCUUAUUCAAAAAUCUUAAUCUGCUGUUUAAAUUGAACAAAUUUUAUGAUUGAAACUUCUUCCUAAAGAAAAACUAAGGAGUUUAGUUCCUGUUUACUAAUGAAUUUGUCCUCCAGAUCAAAUCAUUUUGCGGGUAAAGGACUUUUUAAUAACAGAGGAAAACAAAUCUUACUUCACUUAUGAAUUUAUUACUUCAUAUAAACAAUUUAUGGAUAGAUGAGCAGUCAUAACCCAUUACAUUUUAAAACAUGCCUCAGAGGCACGUUUUCUAUGGUCAACAUUUCCGUUUUUAUUUAGGGAUUUUUGUUGUUUCAUGACAUCAAGAUAAGGAGAGAAGUCAGGCCUAGAAAUCCCAGCUUUGAUCUCUAAAGAGAAGCAUUAUUAAUUUUAAGUCAGCAGAAGAUGAAGGAAACUGGAUUUUACUAAGUAGUCUUGUCAAAGAUUUGGGAAUGAUUAAAUUUAUUUAAUACUUUAUGCUGUGAAACAUGUUAACUGCAUGAAUUAUUAAAAAAUUUUAAAUCCUUUCCUUUUUUAUGAAUCAGUUUUUGAUACUCUGUUGUAUGUGUCCUACCUUUCCCUGUGUUGUCUAAUCCUCCUCGAGCAUUUGUUUCCCCUAGUUUUUAUUUUAACCAACUAGCAUUUCAUGAUAAAUGUUUUAUCAGGCCUUGGUAAACAGCCUGCUGCUAAGCCUCGCCAGCCUGGGUUACUGGGAUGGUGGCUCACUAUGAAUACUCAGCAGAAUGCAUAUACAAACACAGGAUAAAGUAGAAUUCAAACAUCUCAUCAUUCUAACAAAUUUUACACAUGAAAAUCAGAUGGGCUUGACAAAAUACUGAAACAACUCCUUAAAUCUUUAUUCAACAUUUGAGUCCCUCUCUCUUCACUAUAGCAGAUAAAAGGAUGUGUAACAUACUUAAUGCUAUAGCCAUUGGAAUAAACCCAAGCGGCCGACUGUCGUUAGUAAAUUAUUCAGUUAACCACAUUGUCCUUGCCUCAGUAUACACUGGAAAGGAAUGGCAGAGGGAAGAUUAAAAAAACUCUGGUGAUUGCUUCUCAGCCAGCCUGGCUAAAGAGCAAGGUAGCCUAUGUUUGGUGCUCUUAACCCCAAGGUUACCCCUACCUAAAUCCUAGUAGUACACGUAUACAAAGUGGUGGCUUUGGCCUUGUCCUAUGUUUCUGAGCAUAUCUGUAAACCUUUUGAUAAGGUGCUGCUUGAGGGUUGCUUUGUUUUUAGAGGGAUCGCUGCUCAUGCUUUCCCAUGAGGCCUCACUGCAGUGCCCAGCAGUAUUAGCCACCCUCAGUGGAGCACAGCAACACCAGCUCACAGCAACAAACCUCCCAAGUGGGAGCUUCUAGCCUAUUCCAGUCCCCUUUAUAAGAAACCAGAACUUAACUCAUCAUUUACUUAUUUUUACACUCAAAGACAAGUGUAUUUUUUAACCUGGCUGUGGAGCUAUGGGUUAGAGCAAAACAACUGUUAUUAAAGACUUUGUUAUAUUCCUAGGAGACAAGUGUUUACAGACAGAACCUCCCACACAUCCUGUAAAAGCGGAUGUAUAGACAACUCAUGUUUCAGAGUAAUUUGCACUUUUCUCAGUAAUUCUCACACAUUAAAUCCUGGCUGACUUUCUAUAGCUUCCAUACUUCUCAGCCCUAAGGGAACUAUACAGAUUUUCUAUUUGGGUUGGUUACACAUCUUAGCCCUACCUUCUUGAUAAAGAUCAAAUCACUUGCUGAUCUGUUCCUGUAAAGCUGUUCGUCUUAGGCAUGACUUUCAGAAAAAAAAUUUAUUGUCUCCCUUACUGCUCCUGACCUGUACUCUGUUAGCUCAAAUAUCCCAACUUAUUUUCCCUCAGAAAGCUAUGAAAUCAGAUACAGUACUACUGUGUGAUUCAACUGAGUUGAAAAUAUCUAAUCCUAGACAUCAUUUAGCUAGAAAAACCACACAUUUAAUAUCUACCUUGUUUUGACAUCCUGAGACAUAAAAAGAAAAUAGCAUAUUUAUUGAGAAAAAGCAGUUUGAGGACUUAAAGUAAAAGGGUUCUUAGAAAUGUUUAUACACUGUACAUAGGUCAUCAUCAUGUGACUGA